rnacentral:lncRNA from 1 species
UGUGACAGCCCUAAUUUGACCCUAGUCGGAAUGUGGUUUCGGGACCACAAAAUCGAGUCAUAAAAUUUAUUUAAAAUUUUAUUUGCAUAACUUCUAUGUGUGAUAGUGCAUGUGUGAAAAUUUGAUGUUUUAAUUUAGUCUUAUGAAUGAGAAUUUUACUUGAAAGGACUUAGUUGAGAAACCAUAAAAAUGUGAUAGGUAAAAGUUGAAGUGGCCAAAUUGUAUAUGGAUAGCAUCA